rnacentral:rRNA from 1 species
AGAGUUUGAUCCUGGCUCAGGACGAACGCUGGCGGCGUGCUUAACACAUGCAAGUUGAACGGUAUGACAUGGAAGCUUGCUGAAGUGUCAUAUAGUAGCGGACGGGCGAGUAAUGCAUGAGAAGCUGCCAUUGGGAGGGGGACAACAGUUGGAAACGGCUGCUAAUACCCCGUAUGCCGGAAGGUGAAAGGGAGAAAUCCGCCUGAUGAGGUGCUCAUGUCCUAUCAGCUGGUUGGUGGGGUAACGGCCUACCAAGGCGACGACGGGUAGCCGGCCUGAGAGGGUGAACGGCCACACUGGAACUGAGAUACGGUCCAGACUCCUACGGGAGGCAGCAGUGGG